rnacentral:lncRNA from 1 species
GUGACAGAUUAGACCUGGAAGCCCAUGAGAAGUGUACGUGGACUCUUUUUCUCCACUUGGAUAUCUUUAUAGUGUACAUUUUCUCAAUCGUGUUCAGACAUUUUCAGAACUUGACAAUCCCAGAGGCAUUUACCCAGAAAUUCUUGAGUUUGCAGGAUGGCAAAUAAGAAAAGAAACAACUUGCUGAAAUGCUGCAACUCCCUCCACUUGUGAAAUAAAAGAACCUGCUGAAAUUGAACCAAGAUGGCCACCAGGAGUUUGGGCAGAAGGAGCUUGUUGAUGUCACAGCCUGAAUUUCCACUGCAUGUUUUAUACUAACUCCCCUCACAUUUGCACAUGAAACCCAUGAAGUAACAUGAAGAAAUAACUGUGCACGCUCAAGUACUUUCCAAACUUCUCCUUUGUUUCCACUAAUUACCCAAUAAUCUCAGAAUCCACCUCCUAACCUUUUCUAAUAAAAAUACUGCCUGAAAGCCAGCAGAGGGAGACAGAUUUGAG